rnacentral:rRNA from 1 species
UACGAAGGUCCCGAGCGUUAUCCGGAUUUAUUGGGUUUAAAGGGUGCGUAGGCGGAUUAUUAAGUCAGUGGUGAAAGCCUUCAGCUCAACUGAAGAAUUGCCAUUGAUACUGAUGAUCUUGAGUACGAUUGAGGUAGGCGGAAUGUGUCAUGUAGCGGUGAAAUGCUUAGAUAUGACACAGAACACCGAUUGCGAAGGCAGCUUACUAAGUCGUAACUGACGCUGAUGCACGAAAGCGUGGGGAGCAAACAGG